CAGGAGAAAGAGCAGAGGGGUGUAAACCCUAGCUCUCAAGAACAACAACACAAAUUCAGCUCAAUCAAAGCCAAAAUCGAAUGGAAAGCAUUGCAUGGAUGAAGAUUUAUCACUAUCUAAUCCUAACAAACAUAUGGAUAGGUAUCGCAUGAGCAUGGAAGGCAAAUGGGUCAAGAUGAGGCAAGGAAGCGGUUACGAACACGGAUGCACAAGGUUGCGCGGACUUAGCAUCGUCACAAUGAAUAGAAGGAUUGAAGAUCGAGUCAAGAGCAAGGAUUGUACGGAAGAAUAGCCACGUAGUUUUAAUUAUGUAAUGUUUUAACAUGUGGAAGUAAAUGUAAAAUUUCCUUUUAUCAAA